rnacentral:lncRNA from 1 species
CUGGGGUUUAGUUCAUUGAUCUGAAAAGCACUUUUCAACUAUACCCGAAAAGUCACUAAACUGUGACCUAAAGAUACCACCAUGAAGCACUAUUCUUUCCAUAGCACCAAAUUACCUUUCAGAUACAUCUUUAUGACCACAGAAAGUAAAGAAGAACAAGCUGUGUUGGACUAGGGAUGUUUUUAUAUAUUAUUUCUGGUUUGUUUUUUCAGAUAUGCCCAUGGGGAUUUUCAAAGUGUACUUUAUUUAUUUAUUUUAAAACCUUGCCUACUGUCUUAGAAUUAGUAUUAAAUAUUGGUUCCAAGGAAGAAGAGCAGCAAGGGCUAGGCAAUGUGGGAUAAGUGACUUGCCAUGGGUUACACAGCUAGGAAGUGUCUAAGGCCAAAUUUGAACCCAAGACCCACCAUCUCUAGACCUGGCUCUCAAUCCACUGAGCCACCCAGAUACCCUGGCAGCUUUUUUUGUACUUUUUCAUAUCCUUAUUUCUUAGCACAAUGCCUCACAUAUCCUAAUCACUUAAUAAAUGUUUGUUGAUGAGGAGGAACUACAGACCAUAAAAAAGUUUCGGUGAAAACAUCUAGGUACCAGAUGUCCUGUGUUUGUGUCCCCUUCUAUGCUCAUCUUAUGUGCAAUGCUUCCUAUAUAUAUAUAUAUAUAUAUAUAUAUAUAUAUAUAUACAUAUAUAUAUAUAUAUGUAUGUAUGUAUGUAUGUAUGUUAUAUUGCCAUGGGUGAGCCCUGAAUCACCAGACGUAUGGUUGUUCCUAACUGCAGUGGAUAAAUUUGAAGGUAGAAAAAUGGAUUGAUAUCCUUAGAAAUUUAUAAACUCUGUGACCAUAGGCAGGUGGCUGGGGGAUAAUAAUGAUACCUACCUUAUAGGUAUGUCAUGAGGUUCAAGUGAGAUGAUGCUGCAAAGCCUGUAGCACACUUUAAACACUUGCAUAAAUUUCAGUUAUUAUUAUUAUUGCUUUUGUCUUCCUCACAUUCAUUAGCAUUCAGAAAGAAAUUAUCUGAUGACUAAGAGCUAUCCUACUACUAUUCUUUUUACUAUUCUUUUUAUGUUGUGUGUGUGUGUGUGUGAAUGAGAGGAGAUGUUGUCCCCCUCCUGCCAUUAGGAAGUUAGCUCUUUGAAAGAAGAGACUGUGCUGUGCAAUAGAUGCUCCUAUUAGGAUAUUUAUGGUAACAGAGAGGUGUUGGGAGGAUAAUACCAGGAAAUAAGUUAGAGGAAAGGUGAAGAUUUGCACUCCUUUUCCCCACCCCACUUCCUGUCUCUCUCUCAGUUGAUUUUAAUGGCUCUUCUCAAUAUGGUAAGUUAUUAGAAGUAUCAAAGGACUAAUCUCACACUAUAACUUUUUCUGAAAGGGGAAUUUAGGGGAAUUAAGGGAGGUGGGAGAGGUAAAAUGGAAGUUAAGGUCUCUCUAAUCUCCUAUGGGGUUCAAUACAGGGAAAUAAAGUUAUUUUGUCUAUGAGGGGAUAUUGAUGA